rnacentral:rRNA from 1 species
CAGAGGAGCCAAGCGUUGUCCGGAGUAACUGGGCGUAAAGCGCACGCAGGUGGUCGGGUACGUGGGGUGUGAAAGCGCUGAGCUUAACUCAGCGAGGCCACCUCAUACGGCUCGGCUCGAGCGCUGCAGAGGUCCACGGAAUUGCCGGUGUAGUGGUGAAAUGCGUAGAGAUCGGCAGGAACACCCAGGGGGAAACCAGUGGACUGGGCAGCGGCUGACACUCAUGUGCGAAAGCGUGGGGAGCGAACCGGAUUAGAUACCCGGGUAGUCCACGCCGUAAACGAUGAAUACUCGGCAUCUGGCGGGCGAUUUUCGUCCGCCGGGUGCCCCAGCUAACGCGGUAAGUAUUCCGCCUGGGAACUACGAGCGCAAGCUUA